rnacentral:rRNA from 1 species
AGAGUUUGAUCCUGGCUCAGGAUGAACGCUGGCGGCGUGCUUAACACAUGCAAGUCGAACGAACCUUCGGGUUAGUGGCGGACGGGUGAGUAACGCGUGAGAAUCUGCCCUCAGGAGGGGGAUAACGGCUGGAAACGGCCGCUAAUACCCCAUAUGCCGAGAGGUGAAAUGAAUUUCGCCUGAGGAUGAGCUCGCGUCUGAUUAGCUAGUUGGUGUGGUAAAGGCUCACCAAGGCAUCGAUCAGUAGCUGGUCUGAGAGGAUGAUCAGCCACACUGGGACUGAGACACGGCCCAGACUCCUACGGGAGGCAGCAGUGGGGAAUUUUCCGCAAUGGGCGCAAGCCUGACGGAGCAACGCCGCGUGAGGGAUGAAGGCCUCUGGGCUGUAAACCUCUUUUAUCAAGGAAGAAGAUCUGACGGUACUUGAUGAAUAAGCCACGGCUAAUUCCGUGCCAGCAGCCGCGGUAAUACGGGAGUGGCAAGCGUUAUCCGGAAUUAUUGGGCGUAAAGCGUCCGCAGGCGGUCUUGAAAGUCUGUUGUUAAAGCGUGGAGCUCAACUCCAUUUCAGCAAUGGAAACUAGAAGACUAGAGUGUGGUAGGGGCAGAGGGAAUUCCCGGUGUAGCGGUGAAAUGCGUAGAUAUCGGGAAGAACACCAGUGGCGAAGGCGCUCUGCUGGGCCAUAACUGACGCUCAUGGACGAAAGCCAGGGGAGCGAAAGGGAUUAGAUACCCCUGUAGUCCUGGCCGUAAACGAUGAACACUAGGUGUCGGGGGAAUCGACCCCCUCGGUGUCGUAGCCAACGCGUUAAGUGUUCCGCCUGGGGAGUACGCACGCAAGUGUGAAACUCAAAGGAAUUGACGGGGGCCCGCACAAGCGGUGGAGUAUGUGGUUUAAUUCGAUGCAACGCGAAGAACCUUACCAGGGUUUGACAUCCUGCGAAUCCCUUGGAAACUUGGGAGUGCCUUCGGGAGCGCAGUGACAGGUGGUGCAUGGCUGUCGUCAGCUCGUGUCGUGAGAUGUUGGGUUAAGUCCCGCAACGAGCGCAACCCACGUCUUUAGUUGCCAGCAUUAAGUUGGGCACUCUAGAGAGACUGCCGGUGAUAAACCGGAGGAAGGUGUGGAUGACGUCAAGUCAUCAUGCCCCUUACAUCCUGGGCUACACACGUACUACAAUGCUACGGACAAAGGGCAGCAAACUCGCGAGAGCUAGCAAAUCCCAUAAACCGUGGCUCAGUUCAGAUCGUAGGCUGCAACUCGCCUACGUGAAGGAGGAAUCGCUAGUAAUCGCAGGUCAGCAUACUGCGGUGAAUACGUUCCCGGGCCUUGUACACACCGCCCGUCACACCAUGGAAGUUGGCCACGCCCGAAGUCGUUACUCCAACCCGCAAGGGAGGAGGAUGCCGAAGGUGGGGCUGAUGACUGGGGUGAAGUCGAAACAAGGUA